GGGCACAUAGCUCAAUGGUAGAGCAUCUGCAUAGCUGCGAAAGUAUGCCGCACCGACUGGUGCCUUCUGGCACGAGCUCUGGCGAAGUCUGCGGACGUCGUGUAAGGUGGACGGGAUUGCAGUAAGGUCGACGGUUCAAUUCCGUCUGUGCCCA
rnacentral:tRNA from 1 species